GCCGCCGGGGGGCUUACGCCCCCGGGCCCGCGCCCGCCGAAGACACCCUCGAACUCUGUCUGAAGAUUGAAGUCUGAGUGAAAAUAUAAAUUAUUUAAAACUUUCAACAACGGAUCUCUUGGUUCCGGCAUCGAUGAAGAACGCAGCGAAAUGCGAUACGUAAUGUGAAUUGCAAAUUCAGUGAAUCAUCGAGUCUUUGAACGCACAUUGCGCCCCCUGGUAUUCCGGGGGGCAUGCCUGUCCGAGCGUCAUUGCUGCCCUCAAGCCCGGCUUGUGUGUUGGGCCCCGUCCCCCGAUCUCCGGGGGACGGGCCCGAAAGGCAGCGGCGGCACCGCGUCCGGUCCUCGAGCGUAUGGGGCUUUGUCACCCGCUCUGUAGGCCCGGCCGGCGCUUGCCGAUCAACCCAAAUUUUUAUCCAGGUUGACCUCGGAUCA
rnacentral:rRNA from 1 species